AUGUCGGGGCGCGGCAAGGGCGGCAAGGGGCUGGGGAAGGGCGGCGCCAAGCGCCACCGGAAGGUGCUCCGCGACAACAUCCAGGGCAUCACCAAGCCGGCGAUCCGGAGGCUGGCCAGGAGGGGCGGCGUGAAGCGCAUCUCGGGGCUCAUCUACGAGGAGACCCGCGGCGUGCUCAAGAUCUUCCUCGAGAACGUCAUCCGCGACGCCGUCACCUACACUGAGCACGCUCGCCGCAAGACCGUCACCGCCAUGGACGUCGUCUACGCGCUCAAGCGCCAGGGCCGCACCCUCUACGGCUUCGGCGGCUAG
rnacentral:rRNA from 1 species